rnacentral:rRNA from 1 species
GUCGUCGUCGUCCGGCCCAUGCCCUACCCCUUCUCCUUCUUCCCCCUCCUCCUCCUCGUCCGCCGCCUCUCCUAGGGUCGCUGGAUGAGGGCCUCCAGGACCGCGCCCACGGCAUGGCCAGGGAGACGGCGAAGUUCACGCACAGGUGCCGGACCGACCGCGAGACAAGGCUGGGGCGGCAGGCGUCCUCCAGCGGCGUCUGCGAGAGGCCGAAGAAGACGAUGGGCGUAUAGCUGCCACAGUCGCCGGCCGCGCUGCUCCCGGAGUCGAAGGAGUUGGACAGGCCCUCCCCGGCCGGCGACCAGCUGGGGAGAGAGGGAAAGAACCCCUUGAUGUUCUUACAGUAAGAGGAUUUGACGACGCGGCCGUAAGAGGAGACGGUUCCGACCUUAUCUUGGUACGUUCAAGGCCUUAUGAAGCACACGUUGGGACGCUGGCUGUUCUAGACCCGUCACGACGGACGCGAACUACACGGUCUCGGAGUUCAAGGGAUGUAGAUGUACCACCCGGUUGUACAUUGGACCUCGACGUUCAAGACAAACACAAAGUUGGGGCGGCAAGGGAGAGCGAAGCACCAAAAGCGCAAGCAACUCUCUCCGGUGUGGUAUCACCGUCAUUCCCAGAUGAGUAGGCUAUGGCCUCUUACCUAAAGGUGUCUCUCGCCACCGGUAUAGCACCGUAUACCACCACUUGUUGAUAUACUGAAAAAGUUAAUAUGGGACAUAAAGUCUCGGAUUCUAGUACCUCUACCGUCCAAGAUAGGGUCCCCCUCUGAUUAUGGGAGUUAUAAAUGUCACCUGUGCCUGCCCCUAUGAACCUCCUCUUAAGGUUACGGUGGGCUUCGAGUAAAAAGAAAGUAACCCGUGAGAGUCCCUGUGAAUAUGCCAUACCCGUAUCUCGUACAAUUACUAACGCACGAUAGCCAAACCCGAGAGUUCCUAAUAGGGUCACCUUUCACCUGGAAUUUUGUAUGACGGUCGUAGAACUUUGACGAUCCUUCCAGAAUAGCACUCGAGCCACUUGUUAUAUACCACCGACGCCAGGUAGGUCUUACAUUGGACUAGAAGGAACAACCAACCUACUCUAGCGUUCUCUGUGAAUACAGCAUACUAUACCUAUCAGUCUUUGACUUGCAAUAGACGUGAGAACUGCUAAUGGUGUACAGUUGCGAGGCUGGAAUGUAAGGGACGAAACGCCUUACCGGCGGCAGUCUACGAGUGACUUAGGCUCUCGUCGAAGUGUAAACGAUUCAACCGUACCGAGGAAGUACCUUUGGACAACAACCCAUACCAGGUCUAGAAGAUCGAAACCAGUCACCGAACCUGUUCAGGAUACAGACAAGAUUAAACCGAAAGAAUAGUCAACUGCAGGUAAACUUACACAAAAACACCGAAACCUUGUUACAACCGAGCCGUCACUCUUGAACAUUCGCUGGGAAGUUACCCAAUAAAGAUCAUUAUACUUACUUGAUUCGGUGAAUUAGAGGAACGAGAUGCAUAAUUAACAACAUCAGUGAACAAACAAGGACCACGCCCCAUUUUUGUUACCCCGUAGUGUAUACAAGCUUUAAUA